CAGUUUCCUGUGGAUUCUCGGAGUGGAAGGUUGAUUGUCUGGACCCGGGAACUGAAGGGGUGGGGAGGGGACUAGGAGGGUGUGACAGUGGAGCUGGGACUGAAGACCCCGGGAUUCUAGUGGAAGACAUUCGAAGGGAGACCCCUUCCUUGGCAGCGGCGACCACCCAGGGCUUUGGGAGAGGAAGAAGGUCGGGGUGGAGGUUCGGGCUUAGGGGUCUUCGGCCGACACUGGAGGAGCUGCCUGGAGCUCUGUGGGGAACCUACGCCAAGUCCCGGGCAGCGGUUCCCGAAAGCAGCCCCAGUGACAUUGCACCCGGCGCCGGGCUGGGAUCUCCUCCGCUGGGGCCGCCCGUGGGAGGAGACCUCGCUGGGUGGCCGGGCUCAGGCGCUCUCGAGCGGAUUUGGGGUCACAGGCUGGGACACCGCGGAGGCCGCCAGUGUUCUGGACGAGCGGCCGUGGGACAGUAUCCGGAUCGAGUCCCCCAAUCCGCUGCAAGCAGGCGCAGAUCCGGGAGGUGGCUAUCGGCCCCGGGGACGCCGUCAGAGCGCGCUGCUCCGGAUCUGGGGGUGAAGUUGACACCCGGGACAAGAGAGCUGAACGCGGCGUGGCGGACAGUGGGGGACGCGGGUGGGCCAAGGAGAGCACGGCCGGAGUCGUGUUAGUGGCAACUCGAAACUCUGAAUCCGCCCCAACCCCGUGAGGCGUCGCAGCUCCCAAGAAAUAAUCUGACAAAAGUUAGCAACUUG
ensembl:lncRNA novel transcript, sense intronic to ST3GAL1